CAGCCGCCGCGGUAAUACGAAGGGGGCUAGCGUUGUUCGGAUUUACUGGGCGUAAAGGGCGCGUAGGCGGGUCUUUAAGUCAGGGGUGAAAUCCUGGAGCUCAACUCCAGAACUGCCUUUGAUACUGAAGAUCUUGAGUUCGGGAGAGGUGAGUGGAACUGCGAGUGUAGAGGUGAAAUUCGUAGAUAUUCGCAAGAACACCAGUGGCGAAGGCGGCUUACUGGCUCGAAACUGACGCUGAGGCGCGAAAGCGUGGGGAGCAAACAGGAUUAGAUACCCCCGUAGUCCCUGUCUCUUAUAC
rnacentral:rRNA from 1 species